rnacentral:rRNA from 1 species
CCUACGGGUGGCAGCAGUGGGGAAUAUUGGACAAUGGGCGAAAGCCUGAUCCAGCCAUGCCGCGUGUGUGAAGAAGGCCUUCGGGUUGUAAAGCACUUUCAGUGGGGAAGAAAGCCUUGGGGCUAAUACCCUCGAGGAAGGACAUCACCCACAGAAGAAGCACCGGCUAACUCCGUGCCAGCAGCCGCGGUAAUACGGAGGGUGCGAGCGUUAAUCGGAAUUACUGGGCGUAAAGCGCGCGUAGGCGGUCUGAUAAGCCGGUUGUGAAAGCCCCGGGCUCAACCUGGGAACGGCAUCCGGAACUGUCAGGCUUGAGUGCAGGUGAGGAAGGUAGAAUUCGCGGUGUAGCGGUGAAAUGCGUAGAGAUCGGGAGGAAUACCAGUGGCGAAGGCGGCCUUCUGGACUGACACUGACGCUGAGGUGCGAAAGCGUGGGUAGCAAACAGGAUUAGAUACCCGUGUAGUC